UCAAUUGAAUUGUUUGAAUUUGUAACAGAAAUAAAAUAUAAGAGAAAAUAUUUAUAUUAUAUUACAAUUUCGCACACAAUUAUUUAAUUAUACUUUAACCUUCAUGAUUAUUUAAAUGUAGAAACGUAGAAAUUAAGAAAUUUUAUCAAAAACAAGAAAACAACAGGGAGAGAGAAAGAGAUACGAAUGUUGCAAGUUGCAAACUCAUAAAGGCCGCAGAGUUUGAUAAACACGCGCGAAACGAUCGAAAGUUGGUGUUUAAUAAGCUGCCUUUAUGGCACGGAUCCAUAAACGAAGAUUCUAGUUUCUUGAACAUAAAUGGCUACAUUUGACUACUUGAAUUUACCACAUAAUCUUGAAGAUAUUAAAAUUCGAAAAACGUGAAAUAAAACGAAGAAUAUACGCUGUUCCAUUGUAUAUAUUAUAGUGAACGUUGUAAAAGGCGAAAUUAAAUAUAAUAUGAUAAUUAGUUGAUAGAAUGUAAGUAGUUUUAUUAACACACGAGAAAAUAUCGUUAAUGGAAAAUAUUUUUCCAGUUUUAACUCAUUAACACUUUUAAAUUAUUGAAUAUCGAUUUUAUAAAAGUUGCGACUUUGAAGAAAAAGUUUUCUUCGACACUUUAAUAAAGGAGAAA